UACGUAGGGGGCAAGCGUUGUUCGGAAUUACUGGGCGUAAAGCGCGCGUAGGCGGCUUUGUAAGUUAGAGGUGAAAGCCCGGAGCUCAACUCCGGAAUUGCCUUUAAGACUGCAUCGCUAGAAUCAUGGAGAGGUUAGUGGAAUUCCGAGUGUAGAGGUGAAAUUCGUAGAUAUUCGGAAGAACACCAGUGGCGAAGGCGACUAACUGGACAUGUAUUGACGCUGAGGUGCGAAAGCGUGGGGAGCAAACAGG
rnacentral:rRNA from 1 species